UACAGAACGAGAUGGACUAGCCCCAGAAAAGACAUCACCAGAUAGAGAUAAGAAAAAAGAGCAGUCAGAUGUAUCUGUUUCUCCUAGAGCUUCAAAACAUCAUUAUUCAAGAUCACGAUCAAGGUCAAGAGAAAGAAAACGAAAGUCAGAUAAUGAAGGAAGAAAACACAGGAGCCGGAGCAGAAGCAAAGAGCGUGCUUAUGCGCGAAGAGACUGAACUGAAGACGCUGCAGACUCAGAUAGCAAAAUAAUAAGCCUACUUCAUGAUAAGAGAUAUCAUCAUGCAUGUUCCAAAAUGAUUGGCCAAGUUUUAUUUUUAAGAAACAUUAAUCGUACAUGAAGUGUAAUACUCCUCUAAGCCUAUUGGGAUACUGCAAGAUGAAAAGUGAUUGCUUCACAGUUUAGACAUUGGGAGGAAAAUCAAGAGCUGUCUUUUAGAGGAUGUAGCAGGCAGUAUAACUGUAAAAGGGACACUGCAUCUCUGUGUAAAAUAAUUUGAAAUUAUAGAAAAUAUUAGUACUUAGUAAUAAUUAUAUUUAGCUACCUAACUGAAA
rnacentral:sRNA from 1 species